rnacentral:rRNA from 1 species
UAGGCGUAAAUGAUGCGAGUUAAGUGUGGGGGCAUCUACGAGAUGGCCCUGUGCUGUAGGGUAGCCGUUAAACUCGCUGCCUGGGGAGUACGGUCGCAAGGCUGAAACUUAAGGAAUUGGCGGGGGAGCACCACAAGAGGUGGAGGCUGCGGUUCAAUUGGACUCAACGCCGGUAAACUCAUCGGGAGCGACAGCAGUAUGAUUGCCAGGUUGAUGACCUUGCUUGACAAGCUGAGAGGUGGUGCAUGGCGUAGUCGUGU